UUUCCCUCAGGAUAGCUGGCACUCGCUCGAGCGAGUCUCAUCUGGUAAAGCGAAUGAUUAGAGGCCUUGGGGCCGAAACGACCUCAACCUAUUCUCAAACUUUAAAUGGGUGAGAUCUCUGGCUUGCUUGAAUUUGAAGCCACGAGAUUCUUAUGGAUCAGAGUGCCAAGUGGGCCAAUUUUGGUAAGCAGAACUGGCGCUGUGGGA
rnacentral:rRNA from 1 species